rnacentral:rRNA from 1 species
AUUGAACGCUGGCGGCAUGCCUUACACAUGCAAGUCGAACGGCAGCACGGGAGCAAUCCUGGUGGCGAGUGGCGAACGGGUGAGUAAUGCAUCGGAACGUGCCCGAUCGUGGGGGAUAACGCAGCGAAAGCUGCGCUAAUACCGCAUACGAUCUGAGGAUGAAAGCGGGGGACCGUAAGGCCUCGCGCGAUCGGAGCGGCCGAUGUCAGAUUAGGUAGUUGGUGGGGUAAAGGCUCACCAAGCCAACGAUCUGUAGCUGGUCUGAGAGGACGACCAGCCACACUGGGACUGAGACACGGCCCAGACUCCUACGGGAGGCAGCUGUGGGGAAUUUUGGACAAUGGGCGAAAGCCUGAUCCAGCAAUGCCGCGUGCAGGAAGAAGGCCUUCGGGUUGUAAACUGCUUUUGUACGGAGCGAAAAGGCUCUCUCUAAUACAGGGGGCUCAUGACGGUACCGUAAGAAUAAGCACCGGCUAACUACGUGCCAGCCGCCGCCGUAA